rnacentral:lncRNA from 1 species
CCUGAUCUUGACUCAGUCAAACCUCCUAAGAACUAGCUUUUUUCAUGGAGUGUGCUGGCUUCACAAGCAACUUUUUGCCCUAUUUAACAUUAAGCCCAAAGAAAAAAAUCAGGAACUGCUCCUAAACUACAUGUGGGCAUACGGGCUGUUUAUCAGUCUUCUGAAGUACGCAUCAUGGAAAAAUGUGAAAUAUACAGAAGAUGAGUUGGAUCAUGCUGGUUGCAGGAUGAUUACUCCUUAUGGCUGAAACUCCUCAGUGGUUCAUUCCAGCACCGCUCACCACAUGGCAGAGAUCAUCCUCCUGUCUUCCUCUCGCAGGGCAAAAAAAAAUUAAGAGUAAAUUGGCUGGCUCAAUAGACUUCCUGACUCCAGCAAGAUAAGUAUUUACUAUGUUUAUGAAGUUGUUUAUGUAGUGCAAUAAUACAAGUGAUUUAAUAAAGAUAAGACUUCAGAUAAAUAUCA